UACGUAGGGUGCAAGCGUUAUCCGGAAUUAUUGGGCGUAAAGAGCUCGUAGGCGGUUUGUCACGUCUGCUGUGAAAACUGGAGGCUCAACCUCCAGCCUGCAGUGGGUACGGGCAGACUAGAGUGCGGUAGGGGAGAUUGGAAUUCCUGGUGUAGCGGUGGAAUGCGUAGAGAUCCGGAAGAACACCGGUGGCGAAGGCGGCCCGCUGGGCAGGAAGGCCUCGUGAGAGGCCGGCUGACGCUGAGGCGCGACAGCGUGGGGAGCAAACAGG
rnacentral:rRNA from 1 species